UGGUAGAUGUAGGCUGCGUGGUUGAGGUCCGCGAGACGAAAGUCACCAAUGGUUAGAGACCUUGAACGACAUGGCUUUGAAUCGUUUG
rnacentral:precursor_RNA from 1 species